rnacentral:rRNA from 1 species
AUUGAACGCUGGCGGCAUGCCUUACACAUGCAAGUCGAACGGCAGCACGGGCUUCGGUCUGGUGGCGAGUGGCGAACGGGUGAGUAAUGUAUCGGAACGUACCAUUGAGUGGGGGAUAACGUAGCGAAAGUUACGCUAAUACCGCAUAUUCUCUCCGGAGGAAAGCAGGGGACCGCAAGGCCUUGCGCUCUUUGAGCGGCCGAUAUCAGAUUAGCUAGUUGGUGGGGUAAAAGCUCACCAAGGCGACGAUCUGUAGCGGGUCUGAGAGGAUGAUCCGCCACACUGGAACUGAGAAACUGUCCAGACUCCUACGGGAGGCAGCAGUGGGGAAUUUUGGACAAUGGGGGCAACCCUGAUCCAGCCAUGCCGCGUGAGUGAAGAAGGCCUUCGGGUUGUAAAGCUCUUUCGGCCGGGAAAAAAUCGCAUGAGUUAAUACCUUGUGUGGAUGAUGGUACCGGAAUAAGAAGCACCGGCUAACUACGUGCCAGCCGCCGCAGUAA